GGGCAUCUGAAAGUAGUCCUGAGGGUCACCUCGCGGUGCAGCCCCCGGGACGACCCAGGACACCCUGGACACCCAGGCCGAGAGCCGGGACCAGCCCGCGCCUCCUCACUGCUGCUCGAGGGACCCUGAAGAGAGGACCCAGUCAUGCUGCAGUCAGGCUUCUGACCUCCAGAACUAUGAACUAAUAAAUGGGUGUUUUAAGCUGUUAUGUUUGCAAUGUGUUAUGAAGUCAUAGGAAACUGAUACAGAUGGUCAUUUCAAAGAGGGGAACCACGUGACAAAUGCUCAGAGCCAUAAAGAAGCAGAGAACUAAAGUCAUUCAGAGAACUAAAGACAUUCGGCAUAGCUGGACCAUGGGGAGCAAAGGAGAUGGUAUGAAAGCUAAUCUUUGAAGACACACUUAAUCAGCGAAAUGGUGAUUGUUGAAGGAGAAUUGUUGCCUGAUGCGCUAAUUUCUAAGUUAAAGAGGAACAUCAUUUUUGCAACAAUAAAGUAGUGAUCUGCCCUUCCACGCAGUGUUAAGACACUUCCCACAAUUCCUCCACCCUUCUCAUUUAGGUAAGUACUAAAAUAAACAGGAAAGGGGAACUGUACCUCUUAUCCCUAUGCAAUCGGCCCAGUGAAUUGAUUUCAACUUUGCAUUUAUGAGAAGAAAAAAAAAGAUGACUUCCUUAUUUGUAUUUUAGUGGGCACAAAAUUCCCCUUCCAGAGAGGCCUGUCUUUAUCCCUCAGCCAUUUUCAAAGAGCACUUUCAUGCAAAGAGCAAACAGCUUCUCUAGGCGGAGAGUUUGAAUUUCCCCUUCCUGAACCAUUUCCUAUAUCUGAA